CGUGCACCUUCACCAGGAUCCGAUGAUCCCGAUAACCGCCACAACGAUGCAUCGGAGUUAGAGGGUGGAAGAGUAGGUCGUGGUGGUGGAGGUGGUGGAGUUGGUGAUCGUAUUCCGCCAAAUCCCUCAAGCCUGGGUAAGAGAAAAAACAUCAAGUUUCCGUAAUUUUUUUGGUUUGGUUUUAUUUUAUUUAAAAGAAUAUGAUGGGAGGAAG
rnacentral:lncRNA from 1 species